rnacentral:rRNA from 1 species
UACGGAGGAUCCGAGCGUUAUCCGGAUUUAUUGGGUUUAAAGGGAGCGUAGGUGGAAACUUAAGUCAGUUGUGAAAGUUUGCGGCUCAACCGUAAAAUUGCAGUUGAUACUGGGUUUCUUGAGUACAGUAGAGGUGGGCGGAAUUCGUGGUGUAGCGGUGAAAUGCUUAGAUAUCACGAAGAACUCCGAUUGCGUAGGCAGCUCACUAGACUGGCACUGACACUGAGGCUCGAAAGUGUGGGUAUCAAACAGU